rnacentral:rRNA from 1 species
AUUGAACGCUGGCGGCAGGCUUAACACAUGCAAGUCGAGCGAGCGGCGGACGGGUGAGUAACACGUGGGAACCUACCCAUCAGAGGGGGAUAACACUUGGAAACAGGUGCUAAUACCGCAUACUGAUGGAUGGGACCGCGGUGCAUUAGCUAGUUGGUGAGGUAACGGAUCACCAAGGCCACGAACCAUAGCCGACCUGAGAGGUUGAUCGGCCACACUGGGACGGAGACACGGCCCAGACUCCUACGGGAGGCAGCAGUGGGGAAUAUUGCACAAUGGGCGCAAGCCUGAUGCAGCCAUGCCGCGUGUUGAGAAGGCCUUCGGGUUGUAAAGCACUUUCAGCGAGGAGGCGUUACUCGCAGAAGAAGCACCGGCUAACUCCGUGCCAGCCGCCGCGGUAAUUC